GUGCUCAGGGACUGGGACACCCCUGGCUACAGGACUACAAUGGACUAGGGGUGAACUGAACUGACUCAGAGCCAACUCCAGCUGGCCCCGGGAGCACAAGGACAGCCUCAUUCACCACCCCCUGGACACAGACUGGGGCAAAUGGGGUGUGAUCACGGCUCCUGAAUGCACUUGAACAAAGGGGCAGACCAAAGGCUGAACAAACAGCUGUCCUCAACCUCCAGCACCUGCUGC